rnacentral:misc_RNA from 1 species
AAUCCGUGCCCAUCGCUUAGGCAACAACAACAACAAAUUCGGAAGUCGGCUUCUCCACUGACUCCAUGGCGACAGCUCCUUAUAAAUUUGCAAAAUGAAUUGAUUUCUUUGUGAAAAAAAUUCCGGCUGGCUGUCAGGAUAUCCUUUCAGCUCGCAUGUAGUAGACUUAGUUAGUUCGUCGCAUCUUAAGAAAAUGAGUGCAGAAUCAGUACAGGUGAUAGUCAGGUGUAGGCCUAUGAAUGAAAAAGAAACAUCUGAAAACUAUGAGGGGAUUGUGAAUGUGCUACCAAAACGAGGUGCAAUUGAAAUUCAAGCGCCUACAAAACCACCCACUUCUAGAGAAUUUACCUAUGAUGCUGUGUAUGACUCAAACUCAAACCAAAAGGAUCUCUAUGAUGAGUCUUUUAAGCCUCUAGUUGAUUCGGUACUUCAGGGUUACAAUGGGACAAUCUUUGCUUAUGGGCAGACAGGUACAGGGAAAACAUUCACAAUGGAAGGUGUCGCAAAAGACCCGGAUAAGAGCGGUGUUAUUCCACGCUCAUUUGAGCACAUAUUCAAUCAUAUUGCUCAGUCUCAUGACCGGCAAUAUUUGGUGAGAGCAUCCUAUUUGGAAAUCUAUAAAGAACAAAUAAGGGAUUUGGUAUCAAAGGAUCCUAAGAAACGUCUUGAGUUGAAGGAGCAUUCUGAUACCGGAGUAUUUGUAAAAGACCUUUCGUCUUUUGUUUGCAAAAGCGUUGUUGAAAUCGAACAUGUGAUGAAUGUGGGAAACGUUAAUCGCUCUACUGGUGCUACCAAUAUGAACGAACACAGUAGCCGUUCUCAUGCAAUAUUCAUGAUAACGGUAGAAUCGUGUGACGUUGGUCAAGAUGAAGAAAACCACAUUGUGGUUGGAAAGUUAAACCUUGUCGAUCUGGCUGGCAGUGAAAGACAGACAAAAACUGGAGCAUCUGGAGAAAGACUGAAAGAAGCAAGCAAGAUCAAUUUAUCCCUUUCAGCUUUGGGCAACGUCAUAUCCGCUCUAGUCGAUGGCAAAAACGGGCAUGUUCCCUAUAGGGAUUCCAAAUUGACACGUCUCUUACAAGAUUCCCUAGGUGGUAACUCUCGUACAGUGAUGGUUGCCAACAUAGGCCCAGCUUCGUACAACUACGAAGAGACGUUGACCACACUUCGAUACGCCAAUCGCGCAAAACACAUUCGCAACAAACCCCAAAUCAACGAAGAUCCAAAAGACGCCCUCCUUCGGAGCUUUCAGCAAGAGAUUGCACGAUUGAAAGCCUCUCUAAGUAAUAAAAAAACCAAGCCAAAAAGAAAAGGUGAUGGGGGAUUGCACGACGUUUCCAAAUCUUCUGAAGAUUGGGCUGACGAUACAGAAGCUGAGCUCGAGCAGGAAAGAAAAGAUAUCCUCAACAAUAGUAGUCUCAUUGCGGAAGAGAGGGAUCAACUUCUUAAGACUCUGCAAACGAAACAAGAGGAGCUGCAUAAUAAACGCGAGAACCAAGAAAAAUUGGCAUCUCGAAUCGAAGCUCUCGAGAGCAAAUUGUUAACUGGCCAUAUAGGCACCUCAUCCGAAAACGUAACCAUCGAAGACGUCACGAAGAAGCAACAGCAAACGCUAGAAGCUCACCGCCAAGAAAUUAUUGAACGCGAGCGUCAAGAGCGAGAGAUGCGCCAGAAGUUAGAAAGCCAAGACGAGGAGGUGAUUGAUUUCAAAGAGAAUUUCAGUUCACUCCAACAAGAGAUCGACUACAAAACCCGAAAGCUGCGCAAAAUGUACGCUCGCUGGCAGAGCGUCAAGCAGGAAAUGGGUGAUCUCGGUGAUGAGUUUAGUCGACAACGACGUGAAUUGGAAGAAACUCAAGAAGUUCUGAUGAAGGAGCUCAGACUGAAGCAGCUGAUUGUCAGCCACUUUGUUCCUCCCGAAUUCCGACGUCAGUUAACAUCACGUCUGCGCUACGAAGAAGAUGAAGAGAAAUGGAUGUUGAGUCCAGCAACGGAGAUGCCUCUACUGCCUAGAGGGUUCGCCUCCAAGUUUGAACUGAGACCAACGUCGGAUUACGAGAAACUCGCUCGUUCAGCUGAAGAUUCUUCUUCUUUCGGUCGCUUUAAAUGUGAAAAUAUUUUUUUGCUAAGCCUGGACAUCCCCCAGCGGACCACUAAGGAAUACGAAGGCCCAGAAAUUUCUCCCACUUUGCAAGCGGCUCUCACUCAGGCCCUGCAGUCCCAGAGUCAAUCGAUGGAGGUCCAGUCAUCGAAAUACAAACCGGUGGACAUUCAUUCUUUUUUAAAAUCGGCCUGCCGUCGCAAAAUGCAACUCAUUCAGCGUCCGAGAUCGCGCAAUUCGGCCAAAUUCAACAACUCGCCAUCGCAUAAGCGUUACCCCCAAGGCCAUGCGCCGGAUGGAACCAACAUAACAGCCGCACCGUAUCCCAAAUCACGAGGUCUUGUACCAAAGUAACCAAAGUAGAGAACCCGAUCGCCAUCCACUUCCUGGUUCACGCUCAACCAAGAGGAUGGCCUCGGCCUUUACCGGGUAGUUUGUUGCGUAAGUUGCAUUUGGAGAGCACGCGUAAGCAUUCUCUCCUCAUCGGCUGCGAUCCCAAACGUCACAUCAACGCUCUGACCUUCCUGGAUUUGGUUUAUUUCGUCUGCCUUUGUCACAUUGCCUUCUGCAUCUGCCGAGCAGUCAUCGAUCUUUUGCCAUUUUGAGAUGUUUUUUUUUCUUCUCGACAGAACGAAUCAUUUAACAAACGAUGGCGAUCUCCUCAAUGCAGUUGUCAGAUGCUAGUCGAUCGGCAGCUGUCCUCUCUCCUUUUUGACAAUUUUCAACAUCACCCUCCUUGGUUCCAUUCGGCGUUAAUCUCAUGGAUCACAUUGGAGAUUACUCGCCUACGCGCAGUCUGUCGCAUACACAGACCCAGGAAACAUUUUUAGCUUUAAGGUCGAACAACAGAAACGAUUGAGACCGAUGACUUGAUAAGCGGACGCCCCCAGUGCAGUCAAUUCGAUUGGUGUUGCGUGACAGCAGGUGAAAUUUGAGGGGCUGUUGGGUGUAAUCGAUCGCACUCGGCGGUUUCGUUUCCGUUUGUUUCUAUGACAGCCAAGAGUCGCACGUGAACUCCUAACAUCGAAACUACACGGUUGUAAAGAUGUUGCGAUCGUUACAGAACGUCGAGUCUCACGAAAUCGGCUAAACACAAAAUUGCCAGACGUGAUAUCCUAAAUGAUAUU